ensembl:lincRNA
UUCAGCUUCAUAUUUCAUUGUGUGCCUAAAGAGUUCCUCAGCAAGAGGGAAAUAGAGGAUAGGCCAUCAAUAAAUACAAGGGGCUUAGACUGCCUUGUACAGAAGGCAGUGAGGUCCUUGCAAAGGAGAAGAUCUUGAGAGAACACUUUAAGAUUUCCAAAACUUCCUGAUUCCUCCUGUGAUCCCAGGAUUGACAGCCAGACUAGUAUUGUAGUAUUACUUCCACAUUGCAAACUUUCCUCUCUUUCUCUAACAAUUUUUGAUGUUUGCAUUUAGGUUUUAAAACACAUUGGUAAUUCGUGAGGUAUUUCUACAGCCAUGUAUUUUAUCAGAUAUUUACUACUCCAGCCACCACCCUGCUUUCACGCUCUGCUCCACUCGCAUCCAGUUGGCUGCCAGAGGGUUUCCUAGCGCUGUGGUAACCCCCCUCCUAACUCUAAUUCCAGACACCACUCAAGACUGGGACUGCCUUGGGGUUUUACAACAUCAGCUAUCCUUUGGGGGAAGCGAAGAGUGUCCCAGCUGGCUUCUGAGGACCAGCUGUCAACUUCAUCCAUGCUCUAUGCGGGAGUGAGGAUUCUGAAUGGGGCCUCCUGCUUCCUCACCAAGGUUCCCUUCCUGACAUCUACUGUUCUGGAAACCUCACUGUUGGCUCCCCACUUAUCGGAUGUCCUGUCUGAGGAACUGGGUAAGGCUGCAGGUGCUGAACUCACUGGUGCUCGCUGGCUUCCCUGUGCUGUGCAGACUUGUGGGAAGUUGAAGGUACACCGGGCUUGCAGUGGAAACUGCUGCCUGGCCUCCACUUCCUCUUCCCCUACUUUCUCCCACAGCUGGGCACAUACCUCUCUGCUGGAGACUACAUGUUCCAAUUUGCCUUGCAACUGAUGAAGCCAUAUGGUUUCCUUCUGGCCAAUGGGACAUGAAUAAAAGAAAUGGUGCACAUCUCAGUCCAUGCCUCAGGUGACAGGGUGGGAACAUAGGGCCCCUCACCUGCCUACACCAGCUAGACCUUUGAGAUAUCUUAAAUCAGCACCCUAGAACCUGCAGAAACAAGCAACAAAAGAGGGGCCUGUGUGCCCUACACUACAGCCACCACGUGAAGUCAGCCUGCUUACUUUCAGGCUGUUAAAUAGAGGAAAAUAAACUUCUACCUAGUUUGAACCAUGGAAUUUGGGGACUUCUUUAUUAUAGCAGCUUGACCCAUGUGCUACUUGGUAAAGUGAUUAAUAACUGAUACUUCCUUUCCCCUCUGUGCCUUGGGGGCAGACGCUGGCAGGGUAAGGUGGGAGUGGGUUGUAAUGUGGAAGUUUGCUGCUCUGCGACUUUCCGAAUCCCUCCCUGCUGCUAAUACUGCAGGACACACGCCCCGUCAUAAUCCACUUUCUCAGCUUGCAGGCCAAGACAUAGACUCUUCUAGCCACAGAAAUCACGGAGAGUAAGAGGAGGUGGCACGGGGGUCUCCCAGAAGCAGGGGCCGAGCCAGGGACCCCAAGUGUCAUCUUCACUUGGGUCGCCGCAGUGGUACUGGGACAUUAGGGCAGGGCCAUCUGCACUGGAGUAAAAGGGGGCACAAAUUCCCCAGACUCCUGCCCUGACAAGAAGCAGGUUUGCCCCUCAGCUGUCAUCCAAAGUAGAAUUUGUCUCCUCACUUACCAUGUACCACCACACUGAGACCUGGGUACAGUCACGUCUGCCUAUUCUGCAAGGUGAAGGAGCUGGAAUCUGGAGACUUUAAGAUGCCUACCCACAGUGGUGGAGCCGAAGGUCAGCACUCAGCGAGACUGCUGUGCUUUGCUCCGUGACCCUGCUCUGUGUCUUGCUAAGCUCUCCCAGGUUCUCUCGGCCAAGACUUCCAUGAGGCAGUCUCACCUUAGGGCAGGUGUGCCUC